rnacentral:lncRNA from 1 species
AUUAGGAAAGCAUUUCUGGGUCCUGCUCAGGUGCAAACCUGGUCACUGGCUGUCUUGCUCCAAGAAUCUGAAGGUCCCUGGAAAGUGAGUUGUGGUCUUAGUGAAGAGAAAGAACCCUCCAUGAUAGACUCCACCUCCACUUAAAAUCAGACCCCUUCUCAGGCUACUCUAGCUGGCUCUUUGGGGAGGCACAUUGCCAAAGUCACCCUGCAGAGGAACAGCAGCCGAUUUUCAUCACAUCGGGAAAAAAAUUCAGAAUUGCUCAUGCAGGCCAGUGAGUGAUCUCAAAUCUUGAGCCCUGGACCACAGCUAAUUUAUUGGCUCUUUGGAAAGAAG